rnacentral:misc_RNA from 1 species
CGGGAACAAUCUUCUCCCCGCUUUCAUUGGUGCUGCAUCGCCCAGUAUUUUCAACCAAAGCCACAGGAAUAGCAGAUUCCUUAAACUCUUUCAGCUUAAUUCUAGCCCCCAUUCGAAUAACCUUCAACAACCCAUCCACCCUCUUCUCAUAAAAUUCAUCAUAACUCAAACCAUCCGGCGGUGACACCUGCGCAUGAGUCAACACAACCAAACCCCUUCGCCAUAUUCCCUUACCAAAUGUGUCCGUAAUCGCCUUAAUCACCUGCCUAUCCAAACUAUCCACCCUAUACGCAUCCAAACGGUCCACAUACAGCAGAACAUCAAUCGUCUUGUUCAAAAG